rnacentral:rRNA from 1 species
ACAACGACUCUCGGCAACGGAUAUCUCGGCUCUCGCAUCGAUGAAGAACGUAGCGAAAUGCGAUACUUGGUGUGAAUUGCAGAAUCCCGUGAACCAUCGAGUCUUUGAACGCAAGUUGCGCCCGAAGCCGUCAGGCAGAGGGCACGUCUGCCUGGGUGUCACGC